rnacentral:sRNA from 1 species
CCAGUAGCUGGUAAGAGAAAGAAAGGUAGAUGCCUUGAACUGAGGUAUCUAAAUAACAAUUUGAUUAUGCGCUGUUGACAAGUAUCAGCAUGUCCCUACAGGCAUUUUCCUGUGAUAUUUGUAGCAACAGGUACUUGUCUGACAUACUGUCUGUGGACCAGUGUGCACUUAUGUAAAGAUUACAGCAUAGGCUCAACGUCUACCCUCCAAGUGAUGCAGCUUCCCUUUUUCUUUCCCUUUAACUAAUCCUUUAAGAAGGAUCAGGAGGGUCCUUCUGCUGCUGCUCUCAGUCAUGCAGUCCCUCCCUGUAAGGUGCUAAGGACUUAAGGAAACACAGCUUGGACACAUUUGAGAAAACUAGAUUCACUCAAAGGAGGGUAUGGGGUUGGUUUGGGUUUAAUAAUGUAACAACUUCAUGGGCAUCUACAACAGAAAUCACAAUUCAGCAUGCUGUUAUGAGCCAUGGGAAACGGUUACUGCCCUGGCACAGUGCCCAGGCGUCCUUUUCUUUCAUUCUCUCCAGGCUCCUCUGAGAUGUCCUUUCAACAUUACAAAGCUCUGAGCAGCUUAUGGCCAACUCCGCUCAUCUUCUCAACUUUGAGAAAUUUUCUUCAUAUUUUACAACCAGCCACCUGGUUUGUAAGGUGGUUAACUAAAACUGAGAGAAGCCACAUUUGGGACAGAGGUCAUUCAGCUGAAAUCACUUAUCCUUGUGGAUGUAAGCUUGGAGUUGUAUUCUACUUCACUGAUCUCUUCUGCACAGCAACGUUUAACCUCAUGUCUCCCACGUGGCAGAAAGAAUAUGUGGUCAGCGAGACCUUCACCUCUAUUUCAUGAUGAAGCUGGGUAAGAAUGAGGAGAUAGGACUCUGUAACCUGGGAUCUAGGUAGGUUUUAUAAAUAUGUUGGCCCUCAACUAAUAGCUCAUUUGUGUGUGUUCAGCUUCUUGGAAAAAUGAGACAGAAAACAAGCCUGGAUUUUAAAAUAUUUCUACAUAUUGCUUUGAAAAGGUCAAAGUUUAAAGGGCCAGGUCCACUUUAUAAUGAUUUAGUCCACAAUUCCAUGCUUUCUGUGACUCUCCACUCUAGUGAAUGUGAGGAGGCCCUUUCUGGGCCACUUGAUCUGGAUCUCACUCAUACCUCCUCGGGAAUUUAGGUUGGAUUUCUGAGAACUGUUUCUUUGGCUAAUUUGAAGAUUUAUAAAAGAUUCUAAUAUCUGUGGGCAACACCGCCAGCCUUCGCUGUGGAGGUUACCUGGAGUUUCUGUAAUUCAGUGAUUCACUUACAAGAACACCAGCCUCCCACAGAGACCCCCAGGAUUUGGUUAGCUGAUGUGCUAAUUUUAUAGGGACUCUUGGACUAACCUUUGGCAACAGGCAAGUUGAAAUGUACCCCUUUUUAUUUUUCACCCUGUGACAGCUUUUAGACUCUGGUCAGCACUCAGACUCCAGGGGAGAAAGAGCUUUGGUGCAGUGAGCCUUGGUUGGUUAGGGAGAAUAUGUGCAACUACUGUUCUAAAAUAAAUUAUGUUUCUACCUCA